UCGUCGCCGGUAGUCUAAGGUUUCCGACGGAAGGUCAGUCCGCGUCGGGUGAGUCGAGCCUAAGCCGAGGCUGAAGAGCGCAGGCGAUGGAUAGCAGGUCAAAAUUCCUGCACCAGUGUGUGGAGCAAAGCAGACUACCGCUUGAAGGUAGGCACCAGCGGGUGGAUGUUGGUGACUGCGGGAGAGGGGUCAAGAAAAGACUGCGGAGCGGUGAAGCACGCUGACCGUACCACAAACCGACACAGGUAGACGAGUAGAGGAUACUAAGGCGAACGGGAGAACCUCUGUUAAGGAACUCGGCAAAAUAGCCCUGUAACUUCGGGAGAAGGGGCGCCCCUGCAAGGGGGUCGCAGUGAAAGGGCUCUACCGACUGUUUACCAAAAACACAGGUCUGUGCUAACGCGCAAGCGGACGUAUACGGGCUGACGCCUGCCCAGUGCCGGAAGGUUAAGAGGAGCGGUUAACGCUGCGAAUUGAAGCCCCGGUGAACGGCGGCCGUAACUAUAACGGUCCUAAGGUAGCGAAAUUCCUUGUCGGGUAAGUUCCGACCCGCACGAAAGGCGUAACGAGUGGAGCGCUGUCUCAACAGGGGACCCGGCGAAAUUGAAGUACGUGUGAAGAUGCGCGUGACCCGCAGCAGGACAAAAAGACCCCGUGGAGCUUUACUGUAGCCUGUCAUUGCGUUAGGACUGCGUUUGUGUAGGAUAGCUGGGAGACGGAGGAGCUGGGGCGCUAGCCUCGGUGGAGUCAACGGUGAAAUACCAGCCUGACGUGGUUUUGACCCUAACCCUUCGGGGGACAGUGGCAGGUGGGCAGUUUGACUGGGGCGGUCGCCUCCUAAAAGGUAACGGAGGCGUUCAAAGGUUGGCUCAGGCUGAAUGGAAACCAGCCAGUGAGUGCAAAGGCACAAGCCAGCUUGACUGCGAGGCCAACGCGCCGAGCAGAGACGAAAGUCGGACUUAGUGAUCCUACGACUCCGAGUGGAGGGUCGUAGCUUACCGGAUAAAAGCUACCCCGGGGAUAACAGGCUAGUCUUGUCCAAGAGUUCACAUCGACGACAAGGCUCGGCACCUCGAUGUCGGCUCAUCGCAUCCUGGGGCUGGAUAAGGUCCCAAGGGUUGGGCUGUUCGCCCAUUAAAGCGGUACGUGAGCUGGGUUCAGACCGUCGUGAGACAGGUCGGUCUCUAUCCGCUGUGGGCGUCGGGAGUUUGAGAGGAUCUGCCCCUAGUACGAGAGGACCGGGGUGGACGGAGCGCUUGUGUGUCGGUUGUCGUGCCAACGGCACAGCCGAGUAGCAAUCUCCGGAGCAGAUAACCGCUGAAAGCAUCUAAGUGGGAAACUGACCUCAAGAUGAGACUCCCCAUCGCGAAAGCGAGUAAGACCCCAGGUAGACGACCUGGUUGAUAGGCGGGAGGUGGAAGCGCAGCAAUGUGUGGAGCUGACCCGUACUAAUGGUCGAGGGCC
rnacentral:rRNA from 1 species